AUAUCUUAAUUAAAAUAACUUCUCAAGAGAAAUGUUUGUCAGAAAAUGUAAACCUUUCUUAGCACUUGGAAAAUAAAAAUUCUUUAUUUUGUUCUGUUUUAGGACUGUACGAAAAGAAUAUAUCACUGCGAAGUAUGUAGAUCAUAGGUUUUCAAGGAAGACUUGUUCAACUUCAUCAGCUAAACUAAAUGAAUUGCUUGAGGCCAUCAAAUCCAGGGAUUUACUUGCACUAAUUCAAGUCUAUGCAGAGGGGGUAGAGCUAAUGGAACCACUGCUGGAACCUGGGCAGGAGCUUGGGGAGACAGCCCUUCACCUUGCCGUCCGAACUGCAGAUCAGACAUCUCUCCAUUUGGUUGACUUCCUUGUACAAAACUGUGGGAACCUGGAUAAGCAGACGGCCCUGGGAAAUACAGUUCUACACUACUGUAGUAUGUACAGUAAACCUGAGUGUUUGAAGCUUUUGCUCAGGAGCAAGCCCACUGUGGAUAUAGUUAACCAAGCUGGAGAAACUGCCCUAGACAUAGCAAAGAGACUAAAAGCUACCCAGUGUGAAGAUCUGCUUUCCCAGGCUAAAUCUGGAAAGUUCAAUCCACACGUCCACGUAGAAUAUGAGUGGAAUCUUCGACAGGAGGAGAUAGAUGAGAGCGAUGAUGAUCUGGAUGACAAAGUGAGUGUAAAUUAUGUCCUCGAAUUCUCAACAACUACCCCAGCUUUUCUA
rnacentral:sRNA from 1 species